UCCCACUUUCUCAUUCACUCCCUACAAACUGGGGGCAAUUUAGAGAGGUCCAAUUAACUGACAAACCCGCACAUUUUUGGGAUGUAGGAGGAAACUAGAGCACCUGGAGAAAACCCACGUGGUCACAGGGAGAAAGUAUAAACUCCGUACAGACAUCACCUGAGGUUAGGAUCAAAGCCGGAUCUCUGGCGUUGUGAGGCAGUGGCUCUACCAGCUGCACCAAUGUGCCAGCCUAAUCUUUGCAUCAAUCUCCUGAUAUGUCCAUAGACAAAGGAAUUUAAAAAGAUUGAGGCGAGUUUUGCUUUGCCGAGUGAGAUGAGAUAGAACAUAGAACAGUACAGGAACAGGCCCUUCAGCCCACAAUGUUCAUGCCAAACAUGACACCACGAUAAACUAAUCUCCCCUGCCUGCACAUGAUCCAUAUCCCUCCAUUCCCUAGAUACCACAUGCUGAGCAAAUGGUUAGUACAAAGAUGGGCUGAAUGGGCUAAUUCUGCUCCAAUCAUUUAUGACCUCAUGACCUAAUCCCCCACCUUUCCUGUUGCAUGCCACCUGUCAUCACUCCCCUUUACAAACUGGAAAGGGUGUAGAGAAGAUUUACAAGAAUGUUGCCUGGCUUGAGGGUCUGAGCUAUAAGGAGACGUUGAGCAGGCUAGGACUCCAUUCCUUGGAACGCAGGAGGAUGAGGGGUGAUCAAAAAUCAUGAGAGGAAUAUAUCAGCAGAGGUCACGGUCUCCUAGAGGAGUCGAACGGUAGCGGAAUGGUCUGCCUAGGCCAGCGGGAGCCGAGAUACCGACUGAUCUGCUGACUGGCCAGGCUGGAGUUCCAGAGCUCCAGACGCAGGAGUCAAAUUCGACCCGCCGUCGAUGUGGAAGUCAUGAUGAGGUCGAGGUUGGCCGCCUCAUCCGGCCUGUGCACCACAUUUUCGGGGGGAUUUCAAGUGCACUCUAGUAAUUUUGUCCGGACUAAGGAAGGUGCCAAACCACCAGUUGACGGAAAAUCGGUACAGGGUAACCUGUACCAAGAUAAACUAAUCAGGUCUGCCUGCAUGUGAUCCCUAUCUUUCCAUCCCCUGUAUAUCAAUGUGAUUUAUAAACGUCUUUUGAAU